UAGCUCAGUUGGUAGAGCAUGAUACUCUUAAUCUCAGGGUCAUGGGUUUGGGCCCCAU
rnacentral:tRNA from 1 species